AUUAUUUUGGCAGAAAAGUGCAAUAGAUUUAGAAUCUUUGAAUGUGGCUAAUGUGCCAUAAAUAAUA
rnacentral:tRNA from 1 species